rnacentral:rRNA from 2 species
GAUGGAGCACGCCGCGUGAGUGAAGAAGGCUUUCGGGUCGUAAAACUCUGUUGUUGGAGAAGAAUGGUCGGCAGAGUAACUGUUGUCGGCGUGACGGUAUCCAACCAGAAAGCCACGGCUAACUACGUGCCAGCAGCCGCGGUAAUACGUAGGUGGCAAGCGUUAUCCGGAUUUAUUGGGCGUAAAGCGAGCGCAGGCGGUUUUUUAAGUCUGAUGUGAAAGCCCUCGGCUUAACCGAGGAAGCGCAUCGGAAACUGGGAAACUUGAGUGCAGAAGAGGACAGUGGAACUCCAUGUGUAGCGGUGAAAUGCGUAGAUAUAUGGAAGAACACCAGUGGCGAAGGCGGCUGUCUGGUCUGUAACUGACGCUGAGGCUCGAAAGCAUGGGUAGCGAACAGGAUUAGAUACCCUGGUAGUCCAUGCCGUAAACGAUGAAUGCUAGGUGUUGGAGGGUUUCCGCCCUUCAGUGCCGCAGCUAACGCAUUAAGCAUUCCGCCUGGGGAGUACGACCGCAAGGUUGAAACUCAAAGGAAUUGACGGGGGCCCGCACAAGCGGUGGAGCAUGUGGUUUAAUUCGAAGCAACGCGAAGAACCUUACCAGGUCUUGACAUCUUUUGAUCACCUGAGAGAUCAGGUUUCCCCUUCGGGGGCAAAAUGACAGGUGGUGCAUGGUUGUCGUCAGCUCGUGUCGUGAGAUGUUGGGUUAAGUCCCGCAACGAGCGCAACCCUUAUGACUAGUUGCCAGCAUUUAGUUGGGCACUCUAGUAAGACUGCCGGUGACAAACCGGAGGAAGGUGGGGAUGACGUCAAAUCAUCAUGCCCCUUAUGACCUGGGCUACACACGUGCUACAAUGGAUGGUACAACGAGUUGCGAGACCGCGAGGUCAAGCUAAUCUCUUAAAGCCAUUCUCAGUUCGGACUGUAGGCUGCACUCG